rnacentral:rRNA from 1 species
CCUACGGGUGGCAGCAGUGAGGAAUAUUGGUCAAUGGGCGCGAGCCUGAACCAGCCAAGUCGCGUGAAGGAUGACUGCCCUACGGGUUGUAAACUUCUUUUAUCAAGGAAUAAAGUGAGGCACGUGUGCCUUUUUGUAUGUAUUUUAAGAAUAAGGAUCGGCUAACUCCGUGCCAGCAGCCGCGGUAAUACGGAGGAUCCGAGCGUUAUCCGGAUUUAUUGGGUUUAAAGGGAGCGUAGGUGGGUUGUUAAGUCAGUUGUGAAAGUGUGGGGCUCAACCGUAACAUUGCAGUUGAUACUGGCAGUCUUGAGAACAGGUGAGGUAGGCGGAAUGCGUGGUGUAGCGGUGAAAUGCUUAGAUAUCACGAAGAACUCCGAUUGCGAAGGCAGCCUACU